CAGUCGCCACGGUAACACGUAGGUGGCAAGCGUUGUCCGGAAUUAUUGGGCGUAAAGGGCUCGCAGGCGGUUUCUUAAGUCUGAUGUGAAAGCCCCCGGCUCAACCGGGGAGGGUCAUUGGAAACUGGGAAACUUGAGUGCAGAAGAGGAGAGUGGAAUUCCACGUGUAGCGGUGAAAUGCGUAGAGAUGUGGAGGAACACCAGUGGCGAAGGCGACUCUCUGGUCUGUAACUGACGCUGAGGAGCGAAAGCGUGGGGAGCGAACAGGAUUAGAUACCCCAGUAGUCCCUGUCUCUUAUAC
rnacentral:rRNA from 1 species